rnacentral:rRNA from 1 species
UACGUAGGGUGCGAGCGUUAAUCGGAAUUACUGGGCGUAAAGCGUGCGCAGGCGGUUCGUUAAGUCGGAUGUGAAAGCCCCGGGCUCAACCCGGGAAGUGCACUCGAUACUGCCGAGCUAGAGUAUCGGAGAGGUUGGUGGAAUUCUCGGUGUAGAGGUGAAAUUCGUAGAUAUCGAGAGGAACACCGGUGGCGAAGGCGGCCAACUGGACGAAUACUGACGCUGAGACUCGAAAGCGUGGGGAGCAAACAGG